rnacentral:rRNA from 1 species
UACGUAGGCAGCGAGCGUUGUUCGGAGUUACUGGGCGUAAAGAGUGCGUAGGCGGUUUUCUAAGUUUGGUGUGAAAUCUCCCGGCUCAACUGGGAGGGUGCGCCGAAGACUGGAAGGCUUGAGUAUGGGAGAGGUAAGCGGAAUUCCUGGUGUAGCGGUGAAAUGCGUAGAUAUCAGGAGGAACACCAGUGGCGAAGGCGACUCGCUGGACAGACAUUGACGCUGAGGUGCGAAAGCGUGGGGAGCAAACAGG